GAUGAAGAACGCAGCGAAAUGCGAUAAGUAAUGUGAAUUGCAGAAUUCAGUGAAUCAUCGAAUCUUUGAACGCACAUUGCGCCCCCUGGCAUUCCGGGGGGCAUGCCUGUUCGAGCGUCAUUUCACCACUCAAGCCUCGCUUGGUAUUGGGCAACGCGGUCCGCCGCGUGCCUCAAAUCGACCGGCUGGGUCUUCUGUCCCCUAAGCGUUGUGGAAACUAUUCGCUAAAGGGUGUUCGGGAGGCUACGCCGUAAAACAACCCCAUUUCUAAGGUUGACCUCGGAUCAGGUAGGGAUACCCGCUGAACUUAAGCAUAUCAAAAGCGGAGGA
rnacentral:misc_RNA from 1 species